rnacentral:rRNA from 1 species
GAUGAACGCUGGCGGCGUGCCUAAUACAUGCAAGUCGAGCGAACGGACGAGAAGCUUGCUUCUCUGAUGUUAGCGGCGGACGGGUGAGUAACACGUGGAUAACCUACCUAUAAGACUGGGAUAACUUCGGGAAACCGGAGCUAAUACCGGAUGAUAUUUUGAACCGCAUGGUUCAAAAGUGAAAGACGGUCUUGCUGUCACUUAUAGAUGGAUCCGCGCUGCAUUAGCUAGUUGGUAAGGUAACGGCUCACCAAGGCAACGAUGCAUAGCCGACCUGAGAGGGUGAUCGGCCACACUGGAACUGAGACACGGUCCAGACUCCUACGGGAGGCAGCAGUAGGGAAUCUUCCGCAAUGGGCGAAAGCCUGACGGAGCAACGCCGCGUGAGUGAUGAAGGUCUUCGGAUCGUAAAACUCUGUUAUUAGGGAAGAACAUAUGUGUAAGUAACUGUGCACAUCUUGACGGUACCUAAUCAGAAAGCCACGGCUAACUACGUG